GAUGAACGCUGGCGGCGUGCCUAAUACAUGCAAGUCGAGCGAACAGACGAGGAGCUUGCUCCUCUGACGUUAGCGGCGGACGGGUGAGUAACACGUGGAUAACCUACCUAUAAGACUGGGAUAACUUCGGGAAACCGGAGCUAAUACCGGAUAAUAUAUUGAACCGCAUGGUUCAAUAGUGAAAGACGGUUUUGCUGUCACUUAUAGAUGGAUCCGCGCCGCAUUAGCUAGUUGGUAAGGUAACGGCUUACCAAGGCAACGAUGCGUAGCCGACCUGAGAGGGUGAUCGGCCACACUGGAACUGAGACACGGUCCAGACUCCUACGGGAGGCAGCAGUAGGGAAGCUUCCGCAAUGGGCGAAAGCCUGACGGAGCAGCGCCGCGUGAGUGAUGAAGGUCUUCGGACCGUAAAACUCUGUUAUUAGGGAAGAACAAAUGUGUAAGUAACUAUGCACGUCUUGACGGUACCUAAUCAGAAAGCCACGGCUAACUACGUG
rnacentral:rRNA from 1 species